GUGGGGAAUCUUGCGCAAUGGGCGAAAGCCUGACGCAGCCAUGCCGCGUGAAUGAUGAAGGUCUUAGGAUUGUAAAAUUCUUUCACCGGGGACGAUAAUGACGGUACCCGGAGAAGAAGCUCCGGCUAACUUCGUGCCAGCAGCCGCGGUAAUACGAAGGGGGCUAGCGUUGCUCGGAAUUACUGGGAGUAAAGGGUGCGUAGGCGGACAGCUUAGUCAGAGGUGAAAGCCCAGGGCUCAACCUUGGAAUUGCCUUUGAUACUGGCUGUCUGGAGUUUGGGAGAGGUGAGUGGAACUCCGAGUGUAGAGGUGAAAUUCGUAGAUAUUCGGAAGAACACCAGUGGCGAAGGCGACUCACUGGCCCAAUACUGACGCUGAGGCGCGAAAGCGUGGGGAGCAAACAGGAUUAGAAACCCUUGUAGUCC
rnacentral:rRNA from 1 species